UUCCUUAUAGGACAUCCAAAAAAAUUGGAACGAUACAAAAAAGAUUAGCACGGCCCCUACGCAAGGAGGACACACACAAGAAAGGAUAUCAUAGCCGU